rnacentral:rRNA from 1 species
UGCGUAGGCGGUUUGCUAAGUUUGAUGUGAAAGCCCGGGGCUCAACCCUGGAAUUGCAUUGAAUACUGGCGAACUAGAGUACUGGAGAGGAAACUGGAAUUUACGGUGUAGCAGUGAAAUGCGUAGAGAUCGUAAGGAAGACCAGUGGCGAAGGCGAGUUUCUGGACAGUUACUGACGCUGAGGCACGAAGGCCAGGGGAGCAAACG